rnacentral:rRNA from 1 species
UGAAUACGAGACGCUAAGGCGUCGAAGUAGUGUAUGUCAUACUUCCAAGAAAAGCUUGCACUGUCAUAGAUAAAAAACGCCUGUACCAUAACCGACACAGGUGGGUAGGUAGAGUAUACUAAGGGGCGCGAGAUAACUCUCUCUAAGGAACUCGGCAAAAUAACUCCGUAACUUCGGGAGAAGGAGUGCCUUAUUAUUAAGGCUGCAAUAACAAGAUCCAAGCAACUGUUUAUCAAAAACACAGGUCUCCGCUAAGUCGUAAGACGAUGUAUGGGGGCUGACGCCUGCCCAGUGCCAGAAGGUUAAAGAAGUUGGUUAGCAUUUGCGAAGCUGAUAACAGAAGCCCUGGUGAACGGCGGCCGUAACUAUAACGGUCCUAAGGUAGCGAAAUUCCUUGUCGGGUAAGUUCCGACCCGCACGAAAGGCGUAAUGAUUUGGAUACUGUCUCGGAGAGGGGCUCGGUGAAAUAGACUUGUCUGUGAAGAUGCGGACUACCUGCACCAGGACAGAAAGACCCUAUGAAGCUUUACUGUAACUUGAAAUUGAAAUUGGACUUUAUUCGCGCAGCAUAGGUGGGAGGCGUUGAUUAUAAUCUUGUGGGAUUAUUGGAGCCAUCAGUGAGAUACCACUCUUGUAAUGUUAGAUUUCUAACUUUGAAUCAUUAUCUGGUCAAAGAACAGUUUCAGGCGGGCAGUUUGACUGGGGCGGUCGCCUCCUAAACGGUAACGGAGGCGUACAAAGGUUUCCUCUGAACGGUUAGAAAUCGUAUCUAGAGUGUAAAGGCAUAAGGAAGCUUGACUGUGAGACCUACAAGUCGAGCAGGGACGAAAGUCGGUCUUAGUGAUCUGACGGUACUGAGUGGAAAGGCCGUCACUCAACGGAUAAAAGUUACUCUAGGAUAACAGGCUGAUCUCCCCCAAGAGUUCACAUCGACGGGGAGGUUUGGCACCUGAUGUCGGCUCAUCGCAUCCUGGGGCGGUAGUACGUCCCAAGGGUUGGGCUGUUCGCCCAUGAAAGCGGUACGCGAGCUGGGUUCAGAACGUCGUGAGACAGUUCGGUCCAUAUCCGGUGUAGGCGUUAGAAUAUUGAGAGGAGCCUUCUUUAGUACGAGAGGACCGAGAAGGACAUACCUCUGGCGUACCAGUUAUCGUGCCAACGGUAAACGCUGGGUAGCUAUGUAUGGAGUGGAUAACCGCUGAAAGCAUCUAAGUGGGAAGCCCACCUC